ensembl:lncRNA
UUACAGUUUUUUACAAUCACUUUGUUACUAUUUUCAGAACCUUGAUGUCAUUUUUCACAACUCUAGACACAAAACUCAAAACCAAUGAUCAAAAUGCACAUUUUUCAAAACUCUAACCCUUUUCUCAAUUGCUUGGAUACAAUACACAUAAAACUUAGAUCAUUUGUUCAUUCAACAAAAACCUGUUCAAUAUGACACAACUUAACAUCAAAGUGCUACUAUUUCAAAAGGCAAUUCACACAUUACAUUUCAAAUGAGUGUCUAUUAAUUUCCUUACAAUGAUCUAACUAUCAAUUGAUACAACUGCUCAAAAUCAAAAGUAACUGUUGCAUUACUCUUAAUGCAUAGUUGUAUGGAAACAGACAAACAAUCUUCCAUGUUUACUGUAAAUCAUGAACGUUUCAAGAUAACGAGAUUCAUUGUCACCAAUUAGCGUGGAGCAUGAACCAAUUAGACUACAAUAUCCAUGGAUGUAGCCUAAUAUUUUAUCAUAAUGCUUCAUCAGACACUGUGUCUAUGGCCCCAAAUACUGUACCACCUUUUCAGACUAUUUACAGUAAUGACAGUACUGCACUGUAUAGAUGCAGGCCCUUGUAAUUGCUUGUCCAAUUCUGCCAACUCGUUACUGAUGAUUGAGUGCACAUUGUGGAAUGAGUAUAUAGAGAAGAGUUGAUUGGGAUCCAAUUGCAAGAGCAUAGUGAUACGUAACAUGGAGCCAGCAGGUGAUGAAGGUUAAGCAGUGGUGGGAGGAAGACGUGUUGGUCAAAGGAAUGGUCAAUGAAGACAUGUUCAACAAUGUGGGAUCCAUAAGUUUGUCGACUAUUGCAUGCAUACUGAAAAGGCACCAGGUAUCUAUAAAACAACUAUACCGUGUGCCUUUCGAAAGAAAUGCAGACAGAGUGAAGCAAAUGAGGACUGAGUAUGUUCAGAGGGUGAUGGAGCUGGAUGCUGAUGACGACCAUCACAAAUUCAUAUAUUUGGAUGAGGCAGGUUUUAAUCUGGCCAAGACAAGGAGGAGAGGUCGGAAUUUCAUUGGCCAGCGGGCAACCAUCCGAAGUACCUGGACAACGUGGGGCCAACAUUACCAUGUGUGCGGCUAUAUCAGAAGAUGGUGUGGUGGGACGCAGACCUCAUAUUGGACCAUAUAAUGCAGCUCUCCUUGUCACCUUUCUUGAUGAGC